CUCUAUGGCCCCACUACUUUGAAAGUGCUUGAACUCAUCUCAUCUCAGAAGCUAAGCAGGGUCAGGCCUAGUUACUACUUGUUUCAGAAACUGCCUGGGAAUACUGGGUACUGACUGC
rnacentral:rRNA from 1 species